UGAGAACUCCUAAGUCCACAAAUCUGGGCCUG
rnacentral:piRNA from 1 species